rnacentral:misc_RNA from 1 species
AAAGCCUUUUCACCAAAAACCUGCAGAAUUUCAAAUGCAAUUCAUAUUGCAUAGUUCAAGUAACCUAAUAAUUUUUACACUUCUACAGCAGAACAAACAUGUUCAUAACAUAAGAAAUCACCGUUCAUAACUACUUCUGCUUCCACCUAACGUAAGAAAUCACUGCAAACGAAGGACCAAAUGAUGAUAUGUGUGGCUCUUCAUGCUCGGUCCCAUGAACUACUAUCACAGAUCCACUAAUUGAAAAUACCACAAAAUGAAUGGCCGAAAUGAUAAAAUUCUUCAUAAGCCAUAAUAUGGUCACGUUGUCACAAUGUCACCCCUCCCAAACUUAUGGCACAUCUAUUCACCCAACUAAACAAUGAACAGAAGAACACUUCCCUAGAACCUUUGUUCAAUCUUCAUAAUAAAUAAUCAGGACAGUUUGGUAUAGCUCAUUUACAAAUCUUAGCACAACUAUUUAAACUACAUGAUAAAACCCAUACAUGAAAUCCAUUUAACUCCCUACUUGAAUCCAUGCCAAGUCAACCUACCAAAUAACUGGAAAAUGCAGAUAAGGACAGUGUCGCAUUAUGCUUUUUUUAAUAAGAAAACACUCCUUAGCGGAGAGAGAAAAAUAGUUCCUAAUUAUCAUUUUAGGAUUCCUAGACAUUCUAAAUAAGAUAUUGACAGCAAAGAAAAUAAAAUUUCCACAAUUCACAAUACAUUUACAAGAACUUGCACAAAUUUACAAGCUAUCCUUAGAACAAAACUUUAAAAGUAUAAUCUGCAAUCUAACUAGAAUUAUUAAGAAAAAUAGCCAUUCUUAUUACUUACUCCCAAAUUACAUUGCAUUACCCCCUACAGGUCCACAGUUUCUGAGAAACACAAGGCACAUCUCUUCUACAAGUCAAAUCUACAUAGGGAAGAGAAUGCGGUUCCCUUAUGGUGUAAUAAGAUUCAAGAAAAAACUGCUCUCAAAAACAGGUUCAAGAAGAGCACUAUUUUGCACUAACGGAUUCAAUAGAAUAUCAACUACUAAAUUAUUUUGCUCCAUCACAAAAAUGGCUAAGGAAAUAGUAAUUACUAGACAUAAUCAUUUCAAAUAAUUCUCAUCUCAUCAAGAUACAACCCAUAUACACGACAACUGCACCACCAAUCAAGCCUUAAUAUCAAACUAGUUGGAAUUUCUUUUGCCAUUCAGCUCUGUUUGAAAAUACACUAAAAAAAAUACUAAAGUAUGAAGUAUCAGAACCUAAAAUCUAUGGUACUAAAAGAUUCCAAAACAAACCCCACCCAAUCAGGCAUAAUGAAACUAUAAUCCAUAUAUAAGGGAACUCAACAAUGUAAGACUACGCUACCUCAUAAAACAGAGCAUCAAAUAAAAAAUUAAUGCACCAGGCCAUAGAUAAAAAUUCAAAAUCACAAUACCAAUUAAAAAAUUCAACUACACAAUGCCUUAUAAUCAAUACCCGGCUACUAAUCAAAUAAAGAACAAAAGCCACUAAGAAGGCAAGAAGUAAUUUAAUAAUCUAACCUGCUCAAGCACAGUCUCAGU